UGGCGGGUAGCUCAGAGGUAGAGCACUAAACAUCCUUAUUCACCCCUUGCCCUAACCGGCCGAAGAAUUGAGGGUUAUCGUCUUAACAACGAGAGGACGCGGGUUCGAGUCCCGUCCCGCCAC
rnacentral:tRNA from 3 species